AUGGUGUGGCUGUGCCCGCGCCUGGUGGUUGCUGACCGGCUGUGCCCGCGCCUAGUCGCGCCGGCCUUCACCGCUCCGGCUGACCCUUCCAGCCGCCUCCCGCGCGGCUGCCCGUGCCGCCGCAGGCCACAGAUCCGCCUCGCACUGCUGCUGCCUGCCGUGCACGCGCCUCCGACAACAACGUCGCCUCUGACUCCCCUGCUGCCCCGCACGUCUGCGUACCCGCGCAAAAUCUGGCCGGCUGGGCUCCUCCGUCCAGCUCAUCACGCGGCUCCAGCUCCGCGCGCCUGUCGCCGCACCCGCUCGUGGCUGCCGGCUGCUGGUUCCAUCUCCUCCAUCCGCCGAGCCCGCCUCGCCUGGCCGGCUUUUCCGCCCACUUCCGCGUCCCGCCGCGGCACGGCCCUCUCCGCGCGCCAGCUCCCGGCCUGCUGGCUACGCCCACCACCCGGCCGGCCUGGCCGGCUCUCGCUGUCUCCUCUGCGGCGCCCUGGCUCCCCCCUGCCGCGUUCCAGCGUCGGCUCGCACUCGCAGCCGCGGCCGGACCCGGCCGCGUCCGCGCACGCCGGCUGCGACCGCUCCGCCUCCCCGGACCGGCUCCGCAUGCUCCGCCGGGCCGCCUCCCCGUGCCGGCUCGGUCGCGCGCGACCGCCUGCUCUGGCCGCCGGCUCCCCGCGCCUCCCAGCGUCUCGGGGCCGCCUGCUCCGCGUCUCCGCCCCGCGCGCCCGUUGGCCUAGUCGCCGCUCCCGCUCCGGCUGGGUCCCCCGCUCCGGCCGGCUUCGGGACGUCGCCGGGUCGCCUCGCACCCUGCGGGUCCCGUGCCGCGGCGGCCCGUGGCGCUCCGCCUGCGCGCUCGCCCCCCGAGCCGCCCACCAGCCGCGUCGGCCCUUGCCCUGCCUGGCCGACUGCUCCGCGUCCCUCCGCGCGGCUCCGCCCCGUCUCGCGCCUCCAGGCGCCCGUGGCCGGCUCCCCAGCCGGACUCGGCCUCCUACGCUGGCCGGCUCCGCCAUGCCUCCCGCUCCUGCUCGCGGCUCCGCCGCCUGCCUUCUCCGCCGCGACCCGGAUGGUCGGCUUCGCCGCCCGCCGACUCCACCGCGACCCGGACGGCCAGCUUCGCCGCCCGCCGGCUCCGCCACCACCCGGCCGGUCCUGCCCCCUGGCCCCUCUGCGCUCCAGGCCGACUCGCGUUGCUCAACUGCCGCGGCCGGGUGCUCGUUCAAAAGAAAGGGGGAGUGGGUGCCGGCGGGAGAAGAGAAAAAGAAAAGGGGCUGGAGAAGAGAAAAAGAAGAGAAGAGCCGUCUAAAAAAAGGGAAGAAAGAGCCGGCCGACUGGAGCUGA
rnacentral:rRNA from 1 species